rnacentral:rRNA from 1 species
CCAGACUCCUACGGGAGGCAGCAGUGGGGAAUAUUGCACAAUGGGGGAAACCCUGAUGCAGCGACGCCGCGUGAGCGAUGAAGUAUUUCGGUAUGUAAAGCUCUAUCAGCAGGGAAGAAAAUGACGGUACCUGCAAAGGAAGCUCCGGCUAACUACGUGCCAGCAGCCGCGGUAAUACGUAGGGAGCGAGCGUUGUCCGGAAUUACUGGGUGUAAAGGGAGCGUAGGCGGGCGAGAAAGUUGAAUGUUAAAUCUACCGGCUUAACUGGUAGCUGCGUUCAAAACUUCUUGUCUUGAGUGAAGUAGAGGCAGGCGGAAUUCCUAGUGUAGCGGUGAAAUGCGUAGAUAUUAGGAGGAACACCAGUGGCGAAGGCGGCCUGCUGGGCUUUAACUGACGCUGAGGCUCGAAAGCGUGGGGAGCAAACAGGAUUAGAUACCCCCGUAGA